GCCCAGGUGGUGAAAUUGGUAGACACGCAUGCUUGAGGGGCAUGUGUUCGAAAGGACGUGCAAGUUCGAGUCUUGUUCUGGGCACAA
rnacentral:tRNA from 1 species